rnacentral:rRNA from 1 species
AACACAUGCAAGUCGAGGGGUAUAGGUUUUCGGAUCUAGAGACCGGCGCACGGGUGCGUAACGCGUAUGCAAUCUACCUUUUGCAGAGGGAUAGCCCAGAGAAAUUUGGAUUAAUACCUCAUAGUAUAUAGAGUUGGCAUCAACAUUAUAUUAAAGUCACAACGGCAAAAGAUGAGCAUGCGUCCCAUUAGCUUGUUGGUAAGGUAACGGCUUACCAAGGCUACGAUGGGUAGGGGUCCUGAGAGGGAGAUCCCCCACACUGGUACUGAGACACGGACCAGACUCCUACGGGAGGCAGCAGUGAGGAAUAUUGGACAAUGGGCGCAAGCCUGAUCCAGCCAUGCCGCGUGCAGGAUGAAGCAUCUAUGGUGUGUAAACUGCUUUUAUACGAGAAGAAACAACAUUACGUGUAAUGUCUUGACGGUAUCGUAAGAAUAAGGACCGGCUAACUCCGUGCCAGCAGCCGCGGUAAUACGGAGGGUCCAAGCGUUAUCCGGAAUCAUUGGGUUUAAAGGGUCCGUAGGCGGUCUUAUAAGUCAGUGGUGAAAUCUCCCCGCUCAACGGGGAAACGGCCAUUGAUACUGUAAGACUUGAAUUAUUAGGAAGUAACUAGAAUAUGUAGUGUAGCGGUGAAAUGCUUAGAGAUUACAUGGAAUACCAAUUGCGA